rnacentral:rRNA from 1 species
GAGUAAUGUCUGGGAAACUGCCUGAUGGAGGGGGAUAACUACUGGAAACGGUAGCUAAUACCGCAUAACGUCGCAAGACCAAAGAGGGGGACCUUCGGGCCUCUUGCCAUCGGAUGUGCCCAGAUGGGAUUAGCUAGUAGGUGGGGUAACGGCUCACCUAGGCGACGAUCCCUAGCUGGUCUGAGAGGAUGACCAGCCACACUGGAACUGAGACACGGUCCAGACUCCUACGGGAGGCAGCAGUGGGGAAUAUUGCACAAUGGGCGCAAGCCUGAUGCAGCCAUGCCGCGUGUAUGAAGAAGGCCUUCGGGUUGUAAAGUACUUUCAGCGGGGAGGAAGGGAGUAAAGUUAAUACCUUUGCUCAUUGACGUUA